rnacentral:rRNA from 1 species
CGCCCUUCAGGCCUAACACAUGCAAGUCGAGCGAGAAAGUGGCUUCGGCCAUCAGUAAAGCGGCGGACGGGUGAGUAACACGUAGGUAAUCUUCCCUUGAGCGGGGGACAACGAGCCGAAAGGCUCGCUAAUACCGCAUAAGUUCCAGAGGACCCCGGUCUUCUGGAGGAAAGCUAGGUAGCAAUAUCUGGCACUCGAGGAGGAGCCUGCGUCGCAUCAGCUAGUUGGUGGGGUAACGGCCUACCAAGGCGAAGACGCGUAGCUGGUCUGAGAGGAUGAUCAGCCACACUGGGACUGAGACACGGCCCAGACUCCUACGGGAGGCAGCAGUGGGGAAUAUUGGACAAUGGGCGCAAGCCUGAUCCAGCCACGCCGCGUGAGUGAUGAAGGCCUUCGGGUCGUAAAGCUCUGUGGGGAGGGACGAACCGCUGUCGGUUAAUACCCGGCAGCAUGACGGUACCUCCUUAGCAAGCACCGGCUAACUUCGUGCCAGCAGCCGCGGUAAUACGAAGGGUGCAAACGUUGCUCGGAAUUAUUGGGCGUAAAGUGCACGUAGGCGGCUUUGAAAGUUGGAUGUGAAAUCCCUCGGCUCAACCAAGGAAGUGCAUCCAAAACUGCAAAGCUUGAGUACUUAAGAGGAUCGCGGAAUUCCCGGUGUAGAGGUGAAAUUCGUAGAUAUCGGGAGGAACACCAGUGGCGAAGGCGGCGAUCUGGGAAGAUACUGACGCUGAGGUGCGAAAGCGUGGGGGAGCAAACAGGAUUAGAUACCCUGGGUAGUCCACGCCGUAAAACGAUGAGUGCUAGGUGCUGUGGGGUAUUGGACCC